rnacentral:rRNA from 1 species
CCUACGGGUGGCAGCAGUAGGGAAUAUUGCUCAAUGGGGGAAACCCUGAAGCAGCAACGCCGCGUGGAGGAUGAAGGCUUUCGGAUUGUAAACUUCUUUUGUUAGAGAAGAGAAUGACGGUAUCUAACGAAUAAGCACCGGCUAACUCCGUGCCAGCAACCGCGGUAAUACGGAGGGUGCAAGCGUUACUCGGAAUGACUGGGCGUAAAGGGCGCGUAGGCGGGAUAGCAAGUCAGAUGUGAAAUCCUAUGGCUUAACCAUAGAACUGCAUUUGAAACUGUUAUUCUAGAGUAUGGGAGAGGUAGGUGGAAUUCUUGGUGUAGGGGUGAAAUCCGUAGAGAUCAAGAAGAAUACUCAUUGCGAAGGCGACCUGCUAGAACAUAACUGACGCUGAUGCGCGAAAGCGUGGGGAGCAAACAGGAUUAGAUACCCUUGUAGUC